CCAGUUUGUGAUGGCCACGACCGAGGCUUCAAUGCUCCAUCCUCUCUCUCUCUCUCUACAAAUUGCUAGCCGUCAAUUGACUUUUUGGUUUUGGCUCUCUCAAAAUCACACCCUUUCUCUUACAUGAAUAAAAAUAUCCCAACACACAACACAAACCACUUUGCCAACAAACUCUAACUCGAGUCUCCCCUUAUGUUCUUUUCUCCUUUUCAACGCCCUUCACUAGAGGAGCCACUUUGCCUUGUGGCAACAAUUUGAACAACUUUGUGUGUGUGUGAAAUUUGGGGGAUCUAGGAAAAAAAAAAGUUCAAAUUUUAUGUGGCUUAUUCUCAAGCCAUGUUCUUUGCUGGCAGCAAGAGAUUCGUUCACAUCUCUCUAGUGGUGCUUUUGGGUGUCACAAUAUUGCAAACGUGGGUGAGUUGGCACUCAUGUCAAGUUGGGGCCAUUCGUGUAUUACCAUCUAGUGCAAUGGCCAAAGUGAAAUUCAACCAUGGCGUUGAGGAUGAGAAGGUCAAGGAAGAUCUAUUGCAUAAGCACUUCAAUAGAAGAACUUUUGGCCUCAACAAUGGGACCCAAAAGGGAUUUGAUGAAAGCAAGAGAAGAGUGCCCAGUUGCCCGGAUCCUCUUCACAAUUAACAAAUGGGGAAGCUGCAAAAGACUGGCAGAUAUAUGUAACAGGAAAAGCAGGGAUUCAUGCCUUUUCAGCCGUACCUAGCUAUAAAAAUAUAGAAACAAUUAUUUUUUUCCCUUCUUUUCGAAAAUUCAGAAAUAAUAUUAAUGGUACGUACUAUGCUUC